rnacentral:rRNA from 1 species
CAGGGAAUCUUGCGCAAUGGACGGGAGUCCGACGCAGCGACGCCGCGUGGGUGAAGACGGCCUUCGGGUUGUAAGGCCCUUUUCUGGGGGAAGAGAGAGGACGGUACUCCAGGAAUAAGUGUCGGCUAACUACGUGCCAGCAGCCGCGGUAAUACGUAGGACACGAGCGUUAUCCGGAUUUACUGGGCGUAAAGCGCCUGUAGGCGGUUCUUUAAGUCGUUUGUGAAAGCCCUGGGCUCAACCUGGGGAGGUCAAGCGAUACUGGAGGACUUGAGGGUUACAGAGGGGAGUGGAAUUUCCGGUGUAGCGGUAAAAUGCGCAGAUAUCGGGAGGAACACCAGUGGCGAAGGCGGCUCCCUGGGUCACCCCUGACGCUGAGAGGCGAAAGCUAGGGGAGCAAACAG